rnacentral:rRNA from 1 species
GGUUCGAUUCUGGCUCAGAUUGAACGCUGGCGGAUGCUUAUACAUGCAAGUCGAACGGCAGCACGGACUUCGGUCUGGUGGCGAGUGGCGAACGGUGAGUAAUGUAUCGGAACGCUUAGUAGCGGGGGAUAACGCAGCAUGCUGAAAGCGUGAAGCAUACCGCAUACGCUCCCCGUGUUGGGACCUUUCGGGCCUCGCAAUUAUUAGAGCGCCGAUAUCGGAUUAGCUAGUUGGUGGGGUAACUCACCGCGAGCCAUCCGUAGUUGGUUUGAGAGGACGACCAGCCACUACUGGGACUGAGACACGGCCCAGACUCCUACGGGAGGCAGCAGUGGGGAAUUUUGGACAAUGGGGGAAACUCGAUUCAGCCAUCCGUGUGCGAUGAAGGCCUUCGGGUUGUAAAGCACUUUUGGCAGGAAGAAACUGGUGCACGUGAUAAUACCCCGUGCAAUCGACGGUACCUGCAGAAUAAGCACCGGCUAACUACGUGCCAGCAGCCGCGGUAAUACGUAGGGUGCAAGCGUUAAUCGGAAUUACUGGGCGUAAAGCGUGCAGGCGGUUCGGAAAGAAAGAUGUGAACCAGAGCUAACUUUGGAACUGCAGCUUUAACUACCGAGCUAGAGUGUGUCAGAGGGAGUGUGGAAUUCCGCAGGCAGUGAAACGUAGAUAUGCGGAGGAACACCGAUGGCGAAGGCAGCUCAGAUAACACUGACGCUCAUGCACGAAAGCGUGGGGACAAUGAUUAGAUACCCUGGUAGUCCACGCCCUGCCUUUCAUGUCAACUAGCUGUUGGGGCCUCGGGCCUUGGUAGCGCGGGGCUAACGCGUGAAGUUGACCGCCCGUGGGGAGUACGGUCGCAAGAUUAAAACUCAAAAGGAAUUGACGGGACCCGCACAAGCGGUGGAUGAUGUGGAUUAAUUGAUGCAACGCGAAAAACCUACCUACCCUUGACAUGUCUGGAACCCAUGAGAUUGGAGUGCUCGCAAGAGAACCCGGACACAGGUGCUGCAUGGCUGUCGUCAGCUCGUGUCGUGAGAUGUUGGGUUAAGUCCCGCAACGAGCGCAACCUCGUGUCAUACAGCACGAAAGGCACUCUGACGAGACUGCCGGUGACAAACCGGAGGAAGGUGGGGAUGACGUCAAGUCCUCAUGGCCCUUAUGGGUAGGGCUUUCCACACGUCAUACAAUGGUCGGGACAGAGUGGUCGCCAACCCGCGAGGGGGAGCCAAUCCCAGAAACCCGAUCGUAGUCCGAUCGCAGUCUGGGUAAACUGACUGCGAAGUUCAACGCUGUAUAAUCGCGGAUCAUACGCCAGGCAGUGAAUACGGUUCCUGGUCUUACACAUCCGCUCCGGUCACACCAUGGGAGGUUUUACCAGAAGUAGGCCAGCUUCAACCGGCGGAGAAGGAUUACCAGCGGCAGGAUUCACAUCUGGUGAAGUCGGAAACAAGCAGAACUCUUACUACUACCUUUACGCUCCAAGAGCAACAUGCCAGAAUCGAAACCAGCGCCGCGGAACCGCAGCACAC